rfam:Schistosoma mattheei strain Denwood, Zambia genome assembly, scaffold: SMTD_scaffold0000438
AUCCGGCUGAGGAGUCCCAAAUGGGAUGAAUUACGCGUCCUGGAU